AAAUCUGUCUAUGGUAGAUCCUCAUCUAGUUAUGGUAGACCUACACCUAACUGCUCAUAAUCAUUCGUUAUCGCAAGUUCAACUGCAUUAUCAACCUUAGUCUUGUAACCAUUUUGUCACAAUCCAAUUUCAAGUUC
rnacentral:pre_miRNA from 1 species